ensembl:lncRNA
UUUUACAAUAAAAGCCAUAGAAUCCUAUGUAGCUGAGGCAGUGCCAGCAAUUACCAUAAAGACUGAAUUUCAAAUUCUCUACUAUUUUCUAGCUUUUCACUGCAGAAAAUGCGUUUUUUGGAAGAAAUUUAGACAUUGGUUAUACAGAUUGGAUCCAUUUCUCUGAUGCAAAAAUGUAAUUGCUUACUUAUACAUUACAGUCUUGCAUUUUGCAUGUGUCUCUUGAAGGUGCAAAGCAGUUUCAGAAUAAAGAGGAAAUGCCAAAGAAAUGAUGAAAAUAACUUUGAUCUAUGAUGAGAAGAGAGACAUUUUAUUAUGUCUUUUUCUGUUUAAGAUUAAGGAAGUAUCAUUGUUCUUGACAUGAAGUCUUCCCCUGUCACCUUAGUCCUAUUCCAUUUCCUUGUUUUUGUUAUCUGACUUCACAGCAGUCCCUUGAUUUGAGAGGCUGUAUCUCUUUCUUAAGUCCUCAGUAAGUCCGUCGAAUAAAACAAUUCUCAGCCUUUAGGUUGUGCACUCUUUUUCAGUCAGCAUCCUUGAGUAAUAAACAAGUUUUGUUUUUUUAAUUUUUUAUGCUUCUGAUUUUAUACAUGAGUGGUUGAUAUUUUUUGAAAUCUUGACUUCUGGAUAAGUGAGAUAAGACUAUAAUAUAAGCCAAAAUAGGUGAUUCUUCUGUGGCUCUCUAAUCAAUCCUAAGAUAGUAAAAACUGCAUAGCAAAAAAAAAAAAAGUCAGUGGGCUUGUUAGAGAUAUAGUCUUGGAUUCUGGAAGAGAUUUGGUGAUAAAGGGUGGCAGGAUUCAAAACUUUUCCUCCAUAAAACUAGAUGAAGUCAAUAGACUUUGCCUUUCCAAAAAGAUGUUAAGAGUUGGCUAAUGCUGUCUGUGCAUUAUGAAAAAGUGAAAGUGUUAGUUACUCAGUCAUAUCUGACUAUGACUCUGCCCCAUGUACUGUAUGUAGCCUGCCAGCCUCCUCUGUCCCUGGAAUUCUCCAGGCAAGAAUACUGGAGUGAGUUGCCAUUCCCUUUUCCAGGAGAUCCUCCUGACCCAGGGAUUGAGUCCCUGGUCUCCCAUAUUGCAGGCAGAUUCUUUACCAUAUGAGUCACCAGGGAAGCCCAGUGCAUUAUGGGAAAGAGAAGUAAGGUUUUGUCCAGUUUGCACUUGUCAUAUAAUAACAAAGUUAUUUUAGAGAAUAGCAAAUUGACAUGGUGUUCAUGCAUAUAUUCAAUAAUCAUAAAAGUAGUCUAAAGGCAUAGAUAGGAGGUAGUAUUUCAGUCAGAGCAAUAAUUCCAUAUUCUCUUGAGUUUACAGGUUAUUAAAUGAAUAUAAGAAUUGAAUAGUACUUUUUAGUACUUUAAGUGCUAAAAUUAUGUGAUUGCAAUUGAACUUUAAAAUGCCAAGCUUCAGAAGAUCAUAAUUUCUAAUGAAAUAGUUUUACCAAAUUCAUGUAAUUGUAUAUCAGUUAAAUUUGGUUUAUUAUAUUGGCUAAAUAAGUCAGGAAAAUGUGUAAAAUAAAUUACCUAUGCUCUUUAUUGUCUUUAUGUGGAAGGUAUAAUUUAAUAUGUCUUAGUAGGGUUAAACUCUUGAGUUUUUGAAAAAUUUUUAAAUAAGUUUUUAAAACUUGAAAAUAUUUUAAAAAUAGGUUUUUACUUAAAAAGUAGUACUUAAAGACUGAUGUAUUAAAAUGUAAUAUGCAUUUAUUUGGGGCUCCUUUCUAGAGAGACUGUGUCUGUUGUUAAGCUUUGCUAUAAUAAAAUUUUAUCUAAUUGAAAAUGCCACUGCCAUAGGGAAGUCAGGAGAUAUCUGGAGUAACAGGCAGGUUUGGCCUUAGAGUACAGAAUGCAUCAGGGCAGAGGCUUAACAGAGUUUUGCCAAGAGAAUGUGCUGGUCAUAGCAAACAUCCUCUUGCAACAACACAAGAGGUGACUCUACACAUUGACAUCACCAGAUGGUCAGUACCAAAGUCAGAUUGAUUAUCUUCUUUGCAGCCAAAGAUGGAGAAGCUCUCUACAGUCAGCAGAAACAAGACUGGGAGCUGACUGUGGCUCAGGACAUGAACUCCUUAUUGCAAAAUUUAGACUUAAAUUGAAGAACAUAGGGAAAACCACUAGGCCAUUCAGGUAUGACCUAAAUCAGAUUGCUUAUGAUUUUACAGUGGAAGUGACAGAGAGAUUCAGGGGAAAUUAGAUCUGAUUGAGUGAAGAACUAUGGAACAGAGGUUUGUAACACUGUAUAGGAAGCAGUGAUCAAAACCAUGCCCAAGAAGAAAUGCAAAAAGGCAAAAUGGUUGUCGGAGGAAGCCCUACAAAUAGCUGAGAGAAGAGAAGCAAAAUGCAAAGGAGAAAAGGAAAGAUAAACCCAUCUGAAUGCAGAGUUCCAAAGUAUAGCAAGGAGAGUUAAGAAAGCCUUCUUAAAUGAACACUGCAAAGAAAUAGAGGAAGACAAUAGAAUGGGAAAGACUAGAGAGAUUUCUUUAAGAAAAUUAGAGACACCAAGGGAACAUUUAAUGGAAAGAUGAGCGCAAUGAAGGACAGAAGCAGUAUCGACCUAACAGAAGCAGAAGAUAUUAAGAGGCGGCAAGAAUACCCAGAACUGUACAAAAAAGGUCUUAAUGACCUGGAUAACCACAAUGGUGUGAUCACUUACCUAGAACCAGAUAUCCUGGAGUGUGAAGUCAAGUGAGCUUUAGGAAGCAUUACUAUGAACAAAGCUAGUGGAUGUGGUGGAAUUCCUCCUGAGCCAUUUCAAAUCCUAAAAGAUGAUGCUGUGAAAGUGCUGCACUCAGUAUGCCAGCAAAUUCUGAAACUCAGCAGUGGCCACAGGACUAGAAAAGGUCAGUUUUCAUUCCAGUCCCAAAGAAAGGGAAUGCCAAAGAAUGUUCAGACUACUGCACAAUUGCACUUUUACAUGCCAGCAAGGGAAUGCUCGAAAUCCUUCAAGCUAGGCUUCAACAGUACAUGAACUGAGAACUUGCCAGAUGUACAAGCUGGAUUUAGAAAAGGCAGAGGAAACCGAGAUAAAAUUGCCAACAUCAGUUGGAUUAUAGAAAAGGCAAGGGAAUUCCUGAAAAACAUCUACUUCUGUUUCAUUGACUACGCUAAAGCCUUUGUGUGAAUCAUAACAAACUGUGGAAAAUUCUUAAAGAGAUGGGAGUACCAGACUACCUUACCUGUCUCCUGAGAAACCUGUAUGCAUGUCUAAUAAGCAACAGUUAGAACAGGACAUGGAACAACAGACUGGUUCACAAUUGGGAAAGGAGUAUGUCAAGGCUGUAUGUUGUCACCCUGCUUAUUUAACUUAUAAUGCAGAAUGCCAGAUUGGAUGAAGUACAAGCUGGAAUCAAGAUUGCCAGGAGAAAUACCAAUAAGCUCAGAUAUGCAGAUCACACCACCCUUACGGCCGAAAGAAAAGGAACUAAAGAGCCUCUUGAUGAAAGUGAAAGAGGAGAGUGGAAAAGCUGGCUUAAAACCCAACAUUCCAAAAACUAAGGUCAUAGCAUCCAGUCCAAUCACUUCAUGCCAGAUAGAGGAAAAAUGGAAACAGUGACUGACUGUAUUUUCUUGGUCUCCAAAGUCACUGUGGACAGCGAUGAAAUUAAGACCCUUGCUCCCGGGAUGAAAAGCUAUGACAGACCUAAAUAGAAUAUUAAAAAGCAGAGACACUCAGUUUGCCUACAAAGUCCGUAUAGUCAAAGCCAUGGUUUUCCCAGGAGUCAUGUAUGUUUGUACGAGUAGGACCAUGAAGAAGGCUGAGUGCCAAAGAAUUGAUGCUUUGGAACUGUGGUGUAGGAGAAGACUCUUGAGAGUCCUUUGGACUGCAAAGGUUGCAAAUUAGUCAAUAAUAAAGGAAGUCAACCCUGAAAUUUCAUUGGGAGGACUGAUGCUGAAGCUGAAAAUACUUUGGCCAUCUGAUUCAAAGAGCUUACUCACUGGAAAAGACACUGAUGCUGGAAAGGAUUGAGGGCAGGAGGAGAAGUGGGUGACAGAAGAUGAAAUGGUUGGAUGGUAUCACUGACUCAAUGGACAUGAGUUUGAGCAAACUCCAGGAGAUAGUGAAGGACAGGAAAGCCUGACAUGUUGCAGACCAUGGGGUCGCAAAGAGUUGGACACGACUGAGCAACUGACAACAACAACAGUAGGUAAACAGAUUAACAGAUUAUGCAAUUAUUUAUAUUUUUAAUUUGAGGAAUUUGGUGAUGUUUUAGGAUCAUUGAACUUAUUUUAGUGUUACUUUAAGCACAGUGAGAAAAGCAAAAGUUGGAUAACUUGAAGCAUGAUACAAGGGUUAAAGGGUACCGCUGGGUUAAAUUUUCUAAAUAGUAAACAAAAUAUUGACCUAUUCCUAAUAUUAAGUUACAUAGAAAAUUUGCACCUUCACCAUUCAGAAGAUAAAGAUUUAUAUUGUAGUGAAAAUAACUUCAUGAAACAAAACUUAUAUCAAGAUCCUUAAUUACAUCUGCAAAGCCAUGUUUCCAAAUAAGUUCACAUUCACUUCACACAGGUACUUGAAAUUAGGACUUCUGUCUUCUGGCGGGACUCAAUUCAAAGGUUUAUUAUAGGAUUUUUAUAGUAUUAUUACAGGAUGUGUUUUGUACUCCCAGUUCUUGAAAAUGGUUUUUCAAGCCAUUGUAUAUUAUUGUUUAUUUAAAUGCAGGAAUUAGGUUUUUAAGAGAAAAAUGAAAUAUUAGGAGUCCUGCUCUGAAUUCUUAAAUUAUGGAGGGCACAGACAUAAAUAAAACUAAACUUGAGUUCAAAUAUGAUAGGUAAUAUGGAAUAUUGGUACAGAGUUCGUAAGAACUUAGAACAAAUCAAAGA